UCACUCCAUGAUUCUGUGAUAAGGAAACCUCCUAAAACUACAGUUGCAGUCACUUCCCAGAGCAGAACUGCACGUCAGACACUGCCCCUCCGCUGCUGCAGAAAUGAACAGUAAUUACAGACUUUGCCUGAUGAUCUGGUAACUGAUAAACCAAGAAAACUUAAGGAUAUCAACUAAGUUCAGUCCUCACUGUCGUCUUCAUCAUCAUCGUCGUCCUUGCUGGGAGCACACCUUUGGAAGCAGUGCACCAGGGUGGCCAGGAAGAAGCUGGAGAGAAUUGCAGCGAUGGACACGGCGACUCCAGAGAAGAUGAUGAUAAAAAGAUCUGUCAAUGACAAACUGAAUUUGCAUUCACUAAAGCUGACCUCAGAUAACUCAUUCAGAAAGAUCCUUCUGUUCUCCACAGGCAGGGAACACUGGAUUUCAUGGAGACCUGCAAGGAAGUGGAAAGGGAAACAAAUCAGCAGAAUAUUGAUGAAUUCUUCUGUUGAUCUGGGUCAGAGAUUGAAUGGCUGAAGAAAUGUUUUAGGGUUAAUUCCAGGUUUAGAAAAUUGUACAAUAUUCAGGGAAAAAUGGAACAACACUUGUCACUAUCCAGAAGCCUUUACAUAACCCCUUUGAGCAGAUCCUGGAAAUUAAGUUAUUUUACCUUCAGUCUUCCAGGGAUCAGGUGUGAUCUAGGGCCAUGAUUUGGAAGAUUUAAAAAAGUCAGUGUUGAACCCUGGAUGCAUCUAAACCUGGAGACCUGAAAGCAACUCCCACUACUCCAUCUGAACACAAACUCUGACUCCAAAACAGGGUAAGAGGGAUACUGAAGUUCCUUCCACACCCUUCUACAUUACUUUCAAUGUCGUUCCAAAACUACGGAAUUUUUUUUUUUUUUUCUGGUCAAACAACAGUUUGGGCUUAAUGGAUGCUUGUUUGCCUGUGACCUGUUUCCACCUUUUCUCUCUGGCUGUCCUGAUGCCAUGCAAACUGACAGAUAUUGUUCCCCCCUGCAUUACUGGAGAACGCCUAGAGCUGGGUUCUUUGUAGUGAAAGCAAAAACCCCCAGAUUUAUGAACUGGUGAGAAUACAGUUGGAUGCUGGAUGGUAAAAGCACACGGUUCACUGCAUAUGCCCAGCUGCCUCUUCAUUCACCACGGGGGAGCAUCAAUAGAGGGUUUUACCAGGGCUAGAAUGGAACCAAUACUAAGUGAAUUAAGUCUGUAGAGCUGCUGGCAAGGCAGCUUUUGUCUCACUAUUAAGGACAUGAAUGUAAAGGGGAAAUGUAAGAAUUGUGUGUUAAUGAUAUGAGAACUGCUGCUGAAUUACUUGAUCCACUUUCACUCUACUGAUGAUCCCUGGAUGUUCUCCCUGGUGUGGGCUCUGCCUUGCUGUGUGCACACAGAGCUCAUGGCAUUUCCAUCCUACAGCUCUGCCAUAGGACCAUGAUUUCACUUUAAACAAGGAGUAAGAUUCCCUCUGCAACUGUGAAUCCCGUUUUUCCUGUGGCUGGAUAGCUGUGGCAUGCGAUGUUUUACUAUUAAACCUGGGCUCCUCGAGUUAAUGGUGCUGCCCUGACUGAUUGUCUGGAUCCAGCCCAGCCCAGCUGUUGUAUUGAUUUGAGAAGGAGUGGAACCAAUUAUCACCCUGACCUACUUGACCUUGUAAUGAGUUUUGUAUUAAAUUUUGAUCCCUAAAACCUGUCCUGUAUCUGUUGUGUUUGCCUAAAGUUCUGUUGCCUUCCUCUUUCUCAUGCUUUUCUGACUGAGAAGAUCCUGAGAGCUGCCCCAGCAGUGUCAGCAGUCAGCCUGCCCAAGGCUCACUGGUUCCUGCAGGCAAUCUGCUGCCCAAAGCCGUGCUGGUUUUCCUGAGCCCGGAGUGCACAGCAGAUGGUGAACAAGCACAGCUGCCUCUGGAGAUCUGUGAAACCUUCUGUCAUCAGAACUGACCUGGAAGGGAAAGCAGCUACAUGGUUUCAAACAUCCUCUGAGACUUCUGGAAAUCUGACCCUGCAAUAUUUGUAUCACGUCUUGUGCACGAGCUGAUACCCCAGAGCACUUGGGCACGCAGAGGCUGAGGAGGUACAAACCUGUCCUCUGCGGCCUCUGACUGAGCUCCUUCUGCAAACCUGCCUACUGAAAGAACUGAGAGCUGGCCACCAAGUCAUAUUUUCAUUUCAGUAGGACUUGGAAGUAGCAGCUCUAGGCAUCAAUCAGAGUAAGCAAAAUGGGGGACAGAUGGAUAUCCUUCUGUGUUCAAAACCAUGAGAAAUGAGGGAGGAGGCAAAAGCCAUAGGCUGGAAUUUCAAGACCUGUGUCUUUUUCAUCAGAUUUUAAAAAGCAAAGAUAUUUUCAGUAAAUAAAUAUAAUCCUGACAGUAAUCAAAGCAGUUGCAUGAGUGUAACAUAUUGCAAAUUCAUUUGAAGAGGAAAUCCUUGCUAAUAGGAAAACAUCACUGCAGCAUUUUGGCAGGAAAACCUGCACCAAGUGAAUACGGCACUGACACAAAUUCCAUUUCACUUGUAGCAAGCACAAAAGUUUCUGUACAACUGUGUUUCUGUAAAAGAAAUCACUCUAACAGAGGCUGAGACCUCCUGAGAAUUGCUGUUUUCAGAGCAGCUGAGUCAAGCUCCUCAAAAGAAAGAGGGCACAGGUGACCAUAAGCAACUCUACUUUUUAAAAUUUCUAUCCAACUGCAAAAGAAAUUCUCAACUGCCAGCAUUUAAAAUACCUCUGUGCUGGAGUGAUAGGAUGGAAUAUCAGAUCUGAGCUUCAUAAGGAAGGAAGUAGAAAAAGAAUAUAUUGAACAAAAAAGAGAGCAAAGAAGACUCCAAAAGAAAACUCUUGUCUUGAGCAGUUCUACAUACUGCAGCCCUUGGCUUUAGAGCUAACUUACCAUGGCAGCAUUUGCCCAGGAUCCCAGACAUGGAGAGGAGCUCGCUCCUUCCUUCCCAACAGCAGUUCUGCCAUGGAUCAAAGCUGAGCCUGUGAGCUCUAUUCCUAUUUCCCUGAUGCUUUCACUUUACAUCACAACACACAGAAUGCAAACAGCAGAGGAUCUGCAACACACCAAGGCACUUAGAGGGUAUUUCUUGUUAUGAGAAUCAGUGUACUGUAAGGAUUUUGAGACUCAUUAUACAAUAAGGGGAAAUAAAGACGCUCCUCUCCAUGUAGCCAUGGGUACUGGAAUCUAGGUCAUGCUCUCAAACCAAAUAGAUUAAAUGGGAAUUUGCUACUUGCUUUAUUCUGUGACAAGCCAACAGGCUUGUGUGGCCUCAAGUUUUUAGAGAAUUCUUAGUUGUUGGGAAUAACAGAUGCUAGUAGAGGAAAUACAGCACCACAGACCAGGGGCCAGUGCAGGGGCCUCGCUUGCUCCCAGCUGUACCUUCAGCUGCGCUGUGUGUGCACCACCUUUUCCAAAAGACAGGAGUGAGCUGAACUCUGCUAUCCACUCACAGGGCAGUCUCCUAAAGCUGUGCUGGAAGCAGCCUGGGAAGACUGCAGAGCUCGGUGGAAGCACGUGGCAGUGACUGAAGGAAAGGAACGCUGAUCAUUCCGUCCUGUUGGGUGGAUGUUUCUUUUCGCUCGGUCGUGACACUGUUGAAAAACCCAAUACAGCCAAACAGAAGCUUUUCUUUGGAUUCCAAAGAGAAUUUGGAACAGACUGUUCAGUUGGAACAGCAGUAAGACCAGCAGUUCUAUCUCUGGUGGCACAAGGAAUUUCUCCUCCCAAAGCUGAUGCAGUGGUUGUUGCACCAGAGCUUCCAACUGUUCACCUGAAAAUAUCAUCACCUGCAGGUCACACACAUCUGCUAAAGAUGGCAAAUGGACAAACCCAUUUCAUCUGCUUCCCUCCAUAGAAACAUGGCCUUGGCUUUACAUUAUUUACAAGCAGGUUGUUCUUACGACAUGACAGUGCAGAGAAUUGAUGGUCUGUACCCCACCUGUCCUGUUGCAUUGGUGUCCACGAAUAGAUCCAUCUUUGCUCUUUGCUUGGGCAGGAAGUAAUUCCAGGGCAUUAUACACCCUCUGAAUGAACAAUGAAAUAACAAAUGACUUCUAGAAAGUGAUCAGUAUUAAUUAUAGAGUGUAGACUUUUUCCUCUGUGUGAUUCUGUUGCAUCUAGACUGGCUCAAGCAAAUCCCUGUCCCCACACACAACCUCUGGAGGACAGGAGAUGCCAUUUCCCUUCAGCUCUGCUUUCACACACUUUUACUUGAAUGGUAAUAGCUUUUAUUGUUUUUUCGGGGGGUUCUGUAUUUUUCAAUUAUUUAUUUAUUUAUUCUGUAGAAUUUAUUCUUUUAAAAGACCAGCCUGGUUGUUGUCAAGGGCAUCUCAAAGCAGCUUGCUAUUUAGUGCUUGGCUGCAGCAAGAGAGCCUUUGAUGACAGUUAUAUAUAUCUACCUCAUUGCGCCCACAACCUAUUCAAGGAGUUGCUUCUUCAUACCAAACAAAAUUGUAAAUGAAAUAACAAGUGGGAGUGUGCUAUAAAUACACAGCUUGGGUUAUUUUGGUCAGGGCCAUCCCAUUAUCUGUAAUGACUCCAGCUGUCCAAAGGACAAUGUCACACACCCUGUAUCCUUCUGCUAUGUCAUCAGAAGGAGCAGAUGUAUUGCACUGGUACUGAUUGCUUUGAAGUGCCAGGCAAGGGACAGGUGCUGGAUUCUACACGGGCUUGUCUCAACACUGGAAAAAAAAAAGGAUGAAAAUACAGGUCUAUACCCUGAGGAAGAGAUUGUCUAAGUAACAUGGGAAGUGUGAAAAUGCUGGAAUUCCAGAACCACAAUGCUAAAAGGGAAGGUGGGUUUUUAAAAAGAAUUAAAUUCUCAAAUAGGUUUCAGAACAAUAUGACUUUGAACGCCUUAUAUUAGAGGAGUACAACUCCACCAAGUACAGCACUUAAACCCUUCCAAUAAAUCACAGGCAAUUGGGCUGCUAGAUCCUAAAAACCACUCUGAGUUUGUUUCUGUACAGGACUAUGCCCAGGCUGAAAUCCUUUAAAUCCUGUAAAACUGAACCUCCUAAAAAUGGAAGCAGCCCAAAAACAGUCUGCGUGCAAAUAAUGAAUAAUUUCCUUGUAAAUUACUGAAAACAGACCAACAAUGCUGUAAUGCCCCAAAGUUAUAACUGGAUGGAUCUCACCAUCUCAAAAACCCCACAAAAGCCCAGAGGCCCUGUUUCAUCUGAACCCUGCUGGGACUUUGUAGCCAUAAUCCAACCACGUUUCUCACAGGUUCUUGUGAUGAGGAAUUUUUAAACCACUGAGUGCACUGACAUUGCCUGCUCCUGGCUGUGCAGUGGGUUUUCCCUGGAUGUAUUGACUGAUGCCCUACUGCUCUGUGAGCUUUGGUUUAUACUCCCCUAGCUAAAGACAAGCAUCAAGAGGCAUCACUUUCCCCAGGUCCACUUGACUUUGUUUUGAAGGACUCCUUGUGCCUUUCUGUCUCUGCUUAUUUCUAAUCCCUCUGCUAAAUACAUCUCUUAUUGGAGAACUUCUGGAAUUCAUUAUCACUUCAGUGUUAUGGUCUGUCUGUUAGCAGACAGAGAUCUAUAAUUUUGGAUGCUGAAUUACAAAACAAAACAAAACAAGAAAACAGGAGAAAAACAAAAAGAAGAAAAAGAAGCCUCAAGUCUGUUGGGGUCUUUUGGAGUUCACAAAAAGCAGGUACCAGGAGAAGUAGUUUCCUACUGUUCAGCAAUAGGCAGCAGGAUGAGAUAAUGCAAACACACACUGGAACGUGCACUAGGAUGUAUAGGAAAUACAUCCACAGAAAUAUCUGAAACCAUAAAUGUUUAAAUGGGCUACAUGCACACAUGUUCAUUACUAUGGAUACAGUACAUGUAAGAGCACUACAAUAGGCCUUUUUUUAGAGUGAAUUUGGUAUUUGCCCUUUUGGGUGGAAUUUAGCUGUUUCCUCAUGUUGGUGAAUGUAGUUGACACAGAUUUGAAAUGUUUAAAUGUGGCAUGUUGUUUCUUGUGUGGUAUUUUGCUCCCAGCUAUGGUUUGCCUUAGUCUCCUUAAACACUGUCACAAAUGUAUUAAAUGUAUUAAUAAGCAGUGAGAGAGGCACUGCCUCUGAAGUGAGAUGAGAUUUCAUUGAAAAUAGCCUCGAGCAAUCAGAACAGUAAGGCUUAAAAAACUUGAAGCCUAGAUUUAGGUCCUUAAAUAAAACUUUUAGGGCCAAGUGUCCUAAAGAUUUGCAGAACAACUUCAGAGGGUACUUAGCAGUUUGUCUCAAUGCCUAAAUAUAAAGUUCAACAUCAGGUAUUCACAUCUGCAAAUGUUGUCCUCACAUCUUUAAAUCUGUGAAAGAUGGAAGUACUCCAAAUAACCUUAGGAUGGAAGAAACAGAGUGAAAAGCCAGUGGCAGUCAGAUCAUUUUACUGAAAAUGUCUGGGAGAUCAAAUUAUAUAUUUAUAUAUGUAUAUAUAGAAACAGAUUUGAUGCGCUUGUUAAGGAAUACAAUUUCUGUGAGGAGCUUCUGCUUGAGCGGGAUAAAAGCUGCUGAAUGUGUGAAAUGUCUUAGGGCUUUUAAUUCCUUCAGAUCUUCUGUUCUGUCCUGGUGAUGUGGAAGCAUGUGCAUGAUACUGGGGGAGAGCUGAUGGUUGCAAUGGACAGAACAGCCUGUCCUUUCUAGCUGCAGCUCGCUCAGGUUCUAUAUUGGUAUAUGAAGCUAAGGAGCCUUCUCUCCACAGCAGAUGAACAAAUAAGUGCUAAUAAAGACUGAUAAGUCAA